rnacentral:rRNA from 1 species
CACAGAGUUAGCCACUGCUUCCUCUCCGGGUUAAGUCAGACUAUAUACGAUUAAUAUAUAGUGUUUCUUCCCCAGUGACAGAGGUUUACGACCCAAAGGCCUUCGUCCCUCACGCGGCGUCGCACCAUCAGGCUUUCGCCCAUUGUGAAUGAUUCGAAACUGCUGCCACCCGUAGGUGUCUGGACCGUGUCUCAGUUCCAGUGUGACUGGUCAUCCUCUCAGACCAGCUACCCGUCUUAGCCUUGGUGAGCCGUUACCUCGCCAACUAGCUGAUAGGCCGCGAACUCCUCUUCUAGCGCCAGGCCUUGCGGUCCCCGGCUUUAAUAUGCUGACCAUGUGGUCAGUAAUCACAUGCGGUAUUAAUUCUCCUUUCGGAGAGCUAUUCCACACUAAAAGGUAGAUUGUUCACGUGUUACGCACCCGUUCGCCACUGCGUUUUAUGUGUAUUGCUACACACAAAACACCGUUCGACUUGCAUGUCUUAACCACGCCGC